CGGUGAGGACGACCUCCCCCUUCGGGCAUUCAUUCCGGGACGACCCGG
rnacentral:ncRNA from 1 species